GGCGCUUCUCCGCUCGAGCGGGAGCCCUGCGGCGAGCAGAGGAGCAUCGCUUCGGACUUCAAGCCUUCGCUCGCCUACUAGGCAGCGGCGUCUCUCGUCCUCCGCGCCCGGCAGCACGCCUUAGACGCUACUCGGCCGUGUAGGGCUUCCGAGAGUCGCUGACCCGGAGGAGAAUCAGGGGCCCGAACGAGGAGCCGGGGAUGACAGGAAAGGAAGGCGGAGAGGAAGAGAUGCUUCUUCUCGGGGGCCUUUCAUGCUUCCCGGACGGAGGCGGAGCCCUCGAGACGCCUCUCGACCGCCCUAAAAGCUACCGACCGCGGGGCUAAAGUCAAGGCAACGCGGGCCGAUCUCGCCGGGGAAUAAACCGCGCGGUCCCCGAAUUAAGAGCCACCCAGAUACCACAUGAAAAAAAGUUUUGGCAGCUGUAGGGAAACUGAACUCAAUCUACCAGUGUCUAUCUUUCUCUUAUGGCCAGGGAAAUGGAAGUCAGAUAAACACAGCUGUGCUUGAUCCACACCAUCCACAUGGAUCCACCCACAGGCUAUAUACUUCCAUGAAAUGCUUCAUCUGGCUGAGACCAUUAUGCUUUGCAGAAAGAAUGAACCCCACCCUUUCAAAAGCUAUUUUAAGAUUAAGAUUGAGAUGUAUCCACAUGGACACGGAAGAUCAAGUUUUAAAAUCUUAUUUUAUCCACAGAUGGCCUUCCCUUUUAGAACAACUUACUUCAUUUAUAAGUACAGAAAUGAAAAAGAAGUUCUAUUUACUAUCUGUCAGAAUUAGUAAAAUUUAAUUUGUA